GACGAACGCUGGCGGCGUGCUUAACACAUGCAAGUCGAACGGAAAGGCCCUGCUUUUGUGGGGUGCUCGAGUGGCGAACGGGUGAGUUACACGUGAGUAACCUGCCCUUGACUUUGGGAUAACUUCAGGAAACUGGGGCUAAUACCGGAUAGGAGCUCCUGCUGCAUGGUGGGGGUUGGAAAGUUUCGGCGGUUGGGGAUGGACUCGCGGCUUAUCAGCUUGUUGGUGGGGUAGUGGCUUACCAAGGCUUUGACGGGUAGCCGGCCUGAGAGGGUGACCGGCCACAUUGGGACUGAGGUACGGACCAGAGUGCUACGGGAGGCAGCAGUGGGGAAUAUUGCACAAUGGGCGGAAGCCUGAUGCAGAAACGCCGCGUGCGGGAUGACGGCCUUCGGGUUGUAAACCGCUUUCGCCUGUGACGAAGCGUGAGUGACGGUAAUGGGUAAAGAAGCACCGGCUAACUACGUG
rnacentral:rRNA from 1 species